rnacentral:rRNA from 1 species
CCUACGGGCUGCAGCAGUGGGGAAUAUUGCACAAUGGGGGAAACCCUGAUGCAGCGACGCCGCGUGAGUGAAGAAGUAUUUCGGUACGUAAAGCUCUAUCAGCAGGGCAGAAAAUGACGGUACCUGACUAAGAAGCCCCGGCUAACUACGUGCCAGCAGCCGCGGUAAUACGUAGGGGGCAAGCGUUAUCCGGAUUUACUGGGUGUAAAGGGAGCGUAGACGGCAGCGCAAGUCUGGAGUGAAAUCCCAUGGCUUAACCAUGGAACUGCUUUGGAAACUGUGCAGCUAGAGUGCAGGAGAGGUAAGCGGAAUUCCUAGUGUAGCGGUGAAAUGCGUAGAUAUUAGGAGGAACACCAGUGGCGAAGGCGGCUUACUGGUCUGUAACUGACGUUGAGGCUCGAAAGCGUGGGGAGCAAACAGGAUUAGAUACCCUUGUAGUC